rnacentral:tRNA from 1 species
AAAGGUAUAGCUCAGUGGUAGAAUGCAUGCCUAACAUGCAUGAGACCCUGGGUUCAAUCCCCAAUGCCUCCA